rnacentral:rRNA from 1 species
AGAGUUUGAUCCUGGCUCAGGAUGAACGCUAGCUACAGGCUUAACACAUGCAAGUCGAGGGGAAACGACAUCGAAAGCUUGCUUUUGAUGGGCGUCGACCGGCGUACGGGUGAGUAACGCGUAUCCAACCUGCCCACCACUUGGGGAUAACCUUGCGAAAGUAAGACUAAUACCCAAUGACGUCUCUAGAAGACAUCUGAAAGAGAUUAAAGAUUUAUCGGUGAUGGAUGGGGAUGCGUCUGAUUAGCUUGUUGGCGGGGUAACGGCCCACCAAACCGACGAUGGAUAGGGGUUCUGAGAGGAAGGUCCCCCACAUUGGUACUGAGACACGGACCAAACUCCUACGGGAGGCAGCA